UUCCCACCUCCAGAUCAGAGCCCCCUCAUAAGAGGGAGCAGGGUCGCCUAUCAACAUCGCCCCCGGCAGGGCUGCCCCCGCCCCCAUAUCAGAGGAAGGGGGCUCACCACCACAUCUGAAAGGGGGGGCCUCCCCCAGAUCUGGGAAUGCAGGGUCCCCCCCACCAAACGAGGGGGCAUUGCUCUCCUCCAGCCCAGAGGUGAAGCUCUGAUUUCUGAUUGGCUGAAUAUCACGGAACCAAUUUCUGAUUGGCUCAGAGGUGGAGGACUCAUUUCUGACUGGCUGAGAGACAAGGAACCUAUUUCCGAAUGGCUAAAACGCAAAGGAGCCAUCUCUGAUUGGCUAGAAGACUGAGACGUCGUUUCUCAUUGGCUACGAAGGACCUACCCUCGCUUCUGAUUGGCAGUUGGAGAGGCUCCACACCUUCGAUUGGAGGAGGAAACAGCAAAUGAUGUUGAUUGGCUGGGAAGCCAGGCGCCCACAUUUCACUGGCUGAGAACACAGCGCUCAUCUCUGAUUGAUUGGACAUCGAAGGGCAGCUCUCUGAUUGGUCAAGAAGAAAACCCUCCAUUCUGAUUGGCUGGAAGGCCCCCUUCCCCUCUAGCCCUGCCCUGGAGGAGCCCCCACGGCAGCCGCUCUGAUUGGCUGAGGGCCACCCCCCCGGACCUGCUGCGCCCGGCGUUUGUCCGCCCGCUGGUUCUGGUGGUAGAUGCGGCUGAAGUUGGAGACAAUGACGGGCACCGGCAGUGCAAUGACCAGCACCCCGCUGAGCGAGCAGAUGGAGCCG